AGAGUUUGAUCCUGGCUCAGGACGAACGCUGGCGGCGUGCUUAACACAUGCAAGUCGCACGAGAUGAUUGAAAGCUUGCUUUUGAAAGUCGAGUGGCAAACGGGUGAGUAACGCGUAGACAACCUGCCGUAAAGAUGGGGACAACAGUCCGAAAGGACUGCUAAUACCGAAUGUUGUGGAACUUCCGCAUGGGAGCUCUACUAAAGAUGGCCUCUACUUGUAAGCUAUCGCUUUAUGAUGGGUCUGCGUCUGAUUAGCUAGUUGGUGGGGUAACGGCUUACCAAGGCGACGAUCAGUAGCCGGUCUGAGAGGAUGAACGGCCACAUUGGAACUGAGACACGGUCCAGACUCCUACGGGAGGCAGCAGUGGGGAAUCUUCCGCAAUGGGCGCAAGCCUGACGGAGCAACGCCGCGUGAGUGAAGAAGGGUUUCGACUCGUAAAGCUCUGUUGUCGGGGACGAAUGUGGAGGUUGUGAAUAACAGCUUCCAAUGACGGUACCUGACGAGGAAGCCACGGCUAACUACGUGCCAGCAGCCGCGGUAAUACGUAGGUGGCGAGCGUUGUCCGGAAUUAUUGGGCGUAAAGGGAGCGCAGGCGGGAGGUCAAGUCUAUCUUAAAAGUGCGGGGCUCAACCCCGUGAGGGGAUGGAAACUGGUCUUCUUGAGUGCAGGAGAGGAAAGCGGAAUUCCUAGUGUAGCGGUGAAAUGCGUAGAUAUUAGGAGGAACACCAGUGGCGAAGGCGGCUUUCUGGACUGUAACUGACGCUGAGGCUCGAAAGCGUGGGGAGCGAACAGGAUUAGAUACCCUGGUAGUCCACGCCGUAAACGAUGAAUGCUAGGUGUAGGAGGUAUCGACCCCUCCUGUGCCGGAGUUAACGCAAUAAGCAUUCCGCCUGGGGAGUACGGCCGCAAGGCUGAAACUCAAAGGAAUUGACGG
rnacentral:rRNA from 1 species